GACGAACGCUGGCGGCGUGCUUAACACAUGCAAGUCGAACGGAAAGGCCCUGCUUUUGUGGGGUGCUCGAGUGGCGAACGGGUGAGUAACACGUGAGUAACCUGCCCUUGACUUUGGGAUAACUUCAGGAAACUGGGGCUAAUACCGGAUAGGAGCUCCUGCUGCAUGGUGGGGGUUGGAAAGUUUCGGCGGUUGGGGAUGGACUCGCGGCUUAUCAGCUUGUUGGUGGGGUAGUGGCUUACCAAGGCUUUGACGGGUAGCCGGCCUGAGAGGGUGACCGGCACAUUGGGACUGAGAUGAGGCCCAGACUCAUACGGGAGGCAGCAGUGGGGAAUAUUGCACAAUGGGCGGAAGCCUGAUGCAGCAACGCCGCGUGCGGGAUGACGGCCUUCGGGUUGUAAACCGCUUUCGCCUGUGACGAAGCGUGAGUGACGGUAAUGGGUAAAGAAGCACCGGCUAACUACGUG
rnacentral:rRNA from 1 species